rnacentral:tRNA from 1 species
GCCUGGGUGGCUCAGUCGGUUAAGCGUCUGACUUCAGCUCAGGUCAUGAUCUCGUGGUUUGUGAGUUCGAGCCCCGCGUCGGGCU